AUUGAACGCUGGCGGCAGGCUUAACACAUGCAAGUCGAACGAGUGGCGGACGGGUGAGUAAUGUCGGGGAAACUGCCUGAUGGAGGGGUAUAAGUACUGGAAACGAUAUCUAAUACCACAUACCAGCAGAGGUGCCCAGAUGGGAUUAGCUAGUGGGUGGGGUAACGGCUCACCAAGGCGACUCUCCCUAGCGGGUCUGAGAGGAUGACCAGCCACACUGGAACUGAGACACGGUCCAGACUCCGACGGGAGGCAGCAGUGGGGAAUAUUGGACAAUGGGCGCAAGCCUGAUACAGCCAUGCCGCGUGUAUGAAGAAGGCCUUCGGAUUGUAAAGUACUUUCAUCGGGGAGGCGUUACCCGAAGAAGAAGCACCGGCUAACUCCGUGCCAGCCGCCGCGGUAAUUC
rnacentral:rRNA from 1 species